rnacentral:rRNA from 1 species
GCCAGACUCCUACGGGAGGCAGCAGUGAGGAAUAUUGGUCAAUGGCCGGAAGGCUGAACCAGCCAAGCCGCGUGAGGGAGGAAGGCGCAGAGCGUCGCAGACCUCUUUUGCCGGGGGACAAAAGGCCGGACUCGUCCGGUCCUGAGGGUACCCGGAGAAAAAGCAUCGGCUAACUCCGUGCCAGCAGCCGCGGUAAUACGUAGGGGGCGAGCGUUAUCCGGAUUCACUGGGUGUAAAGGGAGCGUAGACGGCCAUGCAAGCCAGGGGUGAAAGCCCGGGGCCCAACCCCGGGACUGCCCUUGGAACUGCAUGGCUGGAGUGCGGGAGGGGCAGGCGGAAUUCCUGGUGUAGCGGUGAAAUGCGUAGAUAUCAGGAGGAACACCGGCGGCGAAGGCGGCCUGCUGGACCGCGACUGACGUUGAGGCUCGAAAGCGUGGGGAGCGAACAGGAUUAGAUACCCCCGUAUGC